UGAAUUAAUGAUGACUACUGGUGGCAUAUGAGACAUGUAUGAUGAAUAUGGGUCUGCAACUCUGAGGUCGAA
ensembl:snoRNA